rnacentral:lncRNA from 1 species
GGUCACUCUCAUCGACACGUCUCCUGACGUAGGCCAAAUGGGCCACACUCAUUGACACGUCUCCGAGCGUAGGCCAAACGGGUCACUCUCAUUGACACGUCUCCAGACGUAGGCCAAACGGGUCACACUCAUCGAUAUAUCUCCGGACGUAGGCCAAACGGGCCACUAACAUAGACACGUCUCCGGACGUAGGCCAAACGGGUCACAUAUAUCGACACGUAUCUGGACGUAAGCCAAACGGGCCAUUCUCAUCGACACGUCUCC